AUUGAACGCUGGCGGCAGGCCUAACACAUGCAAGUCGAGCGAGCGGCGGACGGGUGAGUAAUGUAUGGGGACUGCCCGAUAGAGGGGGAUAACUACUGGAAACGGUAGCUAAUAUCGCACACUAUCGGAUAACCCAUAUGGGAUUAGCUAGUAGGUGAGGUAAUGGCUCACCUAGGCGACGAUCCCCAGCUGGUCUGAGAGGAUGAUCAGCCACACUGGGACUGAGACACGGCCCAGACUCCGACGGAGGCAGCAGUGGGGAAUAUUGCACAAUGGGCGAAAGCCUGAUGCAGCCAUGCCGCGUGUAUGAAGAAGGCCCUAGGGUUGUAAAGUACUUUCGGUCGGGAGGCGUUACCGACAGAAGAAGCACCGGCUAACUCCGUGCCAGCAGCCGCGGUAAUAC
rnacentral:rRNA from 1 species